AGCAAGCUGUAAGAGGAGCCUUUAUUUUUUACCCCUCCUCCUAUAAAAAGCUUGUCUGACAAACAAGGACAUCUAAAUUGAGAAAACAGAAUACGCUUCAAAUAAAACUUUUAUUUACUCUGCUGGUUCUGAGCUACCUACAAUGGUUCAGUGGGGGGGAUGGAGAAAAAAAGUGCUUCAUGAGCAGAUGUGCAAUGAUAGCAGAGAGGAAGGAAAAAGCAGGGCAUAUCUGGUCAAAAGAUUGGCACUUAACACGCGAAGAGAGGAGAGAAACUGUUGAAACAGCCAGUAUCCGUUUUGAGCCUCGCUCUUACCUCAGGUUGACUUCCUAUGUGUGGUCAGUGAGCGUAUUGUUUUAUCGCUUCACUUGACAAUACAUAUACACCACUUGUUACCACCUGGGUAAAACUGAAAUGUCAAACGUUGAGCUUUUCUGGAAAAUGUCGCCUUUAAUUAAACAGAAACUGAGCCACAGCAGACUUGUGGCCAUGCAGCAGGUGAUGAGGUGAUACAGGGGAUGCUUUACACCCAAGCCACCAUAAUAAAUGUGCAUAACGCUUUCCUAGGCAUCUAUUAGACUCCCCAUUCAGCAGAAGGAGGAGGAAAAAAAUAAUAACAGUGCGGGCUAGCCGAGGGAUUCCAUCCUCAUUCAUUAAACAGUAGGGGGAAAAUGAACGCCAUGGUGACCAGACAAGGCAGAUGACGUCACAAAGCCGAGGUCACCAGUCUGUUGCGACCGUCUAGCCCCCAGUCGGCCCCUUGGGAUCUCCCUCACCCCCCCUUCAGCCUAUUGGUCCAAGCUAAGCUCUGUGGUCCUGGAAAUCAGAAUGAAAACAGUCAAAGAGUGCGGGGUGUCAGAAAUUUAUUCAUUCAUUUUAAUGAAACAUCAGCUACGGAAUGAAUUACAGCCACUGGAUAAAUAUAUACAUCUAAUUUUUAAAUCAAUGUAUUUUUGUGAGGAGAAGAUGAGAGGAUGCCUCAUCCUCCUCCUCGGGCUACAUACACAAAUAUCUGUGUUUUUGUGUUGCUGCAUGGGAACCUUCUCCUCUCUAAUCAAUUUAUUAUGAGGAACUGAAGUCCUCAUGUUUGUUCAUUUAACACAGAGAAAAUGAAAAACAACAUUUGUUUCUGGUACGGUGGGAUCCAGCUUGAGAACCAGGCAUGUUCUGUGAGGGAAAGGAAACGCAAGAGAAUAGGGGGAGAGAUUGAGGCACACAUAGAGGAAAAAAGAUCCCCACCCACUCCCUCUCGGUAUAAACAUAAAGGUGUAAUAUAAUGUGGCUUUGAGGAAAUAUGGCUUUAAUUGCAGGAGGGCGUAACAUUUAAUACGGCCUGUAUGACACCUGGCAAAAAUGGUUUACGCUCCGGACGGUGCCAAUUAUAAUUCAGCCAAUGAGGAAUCUUUCAUAAAUCCACCAACAUGCUCACUGCAAGCACUGGAUGCUUAUUUGACAAGAUGAGAUGGGGCGGGAUGGCGACAGGCGCACAUGCAGUAUAUCUUCUUUUUAAUUACAAUGUCUGCAGAGGUGGAACUCUGCUAUAAACAAUCAUCUGUGCAAUCAGACGCAAAAGCACUAACACUUAGCCUUAUAGCAGCUCGUUCUAAAAUGGAGAAACUGGAUUAUUUGGAGAAUGUUGGUCUCACUGGUCCAAUGGUAAUCUUAAUUAUUCUUUUUUUAAAUAUUCACGCAGACCAAUAGCUUAAAGCUGGGGCGUAUAAAUCUGCAAAUCAUCUAUCUUUUAUAUGCCGGGCAUAGCAGUGGGACAUCCUCAUUCAAUUUUAUAAUACCGAUCUAGCGGUGGUGUCGGUCAGAUCAGUGCAGAUAUUUACAGGCAUUCAUGAGAGCCAGAAACACUCCACUGAAUAUAUAUACAAGAUUAUCAGCAUUCUGCUGAAUUUAAUCAUAGAAAUAUUAAAUAUGUGCAUUUUUCACAGGUGUUAUUUAAAAACGUAGCCUUUUUUUUUUCUCCCCCCCAAGACUACAGGUGCUAACAGCACCAUGGCAUCUACCUUCUAAUACAACCUGGUAUAAUCUUCUCUUAUUAUGUGUAUUGUGUGUUUGCUACAAAAGCAAAUAAAAUGAACUAAAACGCUGUUCAGAUGUGUGCACGUCUCAAAAAGGACUAUGUGAGCCUAUUCUCACGCGGACUAGCCUUGCAUGAGUAAUAAAUACAUAUAAUAGCAAACACAAGGAUGUACAGUAUAUGUAGGCAUGCGGCGCAUACACACUGCACAGUGAUGCAGGAAAAGAGAAGAAAUAAAGCAGCAGAAGCUGAAAGAGAGCACACUUCAGAGGACUAUGGAGGCUGCAGCACUUAGAGGCCAUUUUAUUGCUUUGCUGUGGUCAAGUGAGGUGCACCGAGCUCAAUUCCACCACAACAAUGGCAAAGAGGGCCGCAGAGACAAAAGAGGGCUAUCCUUGCUUCUUAACCCCUUCACUACUGGCAGAUCAGUGGCCUACGACACUGAGCCAACAGCAUCAGAUGCCUCAGGGGAAGACAGUGGAGCGACAGCCACAUCCUGCACAAUCUACCUGCCUUAUUACAGCAGCUCCAAAGUACACAUAGCUACAACAGUUCGAUUUUUUUUUUCCAAAAUUAAAGUAUAUAUUUAACAAAAAAUCCUAAGAUAAUCUAUAAAUAUUUAGUAGAGGUCAGUUUGUUUUUCUGACCACCCAGGGACAGUAACUGAACCUCAGCUUCAUACCAAAAGCACAUCACAGCCUUCUCCACAUCUCUCCAUACAUGCCCCUCCCAGUCUCCUUUUCUCUCCUCAAACAGGGAACUACACAUUUGCAAGUGAAUUACUCUUUUUGUUAAGAUUUUUGUGCGUGUGUUUAAGAAAAAAAAAUUUGGGAAAGAGGGUGUGUGAGAAGGAGAAGGAGUGCUCCUGCCAUCGCCCUUUUCUUUUCUUCUCUCUAUAAUCCUGGGGAGGAUAAGCUGUGAGGUACACAGAGAGGAAGUGCCACAGACCUGCUGGGGUCCAGCACAUCCCAGCAGUGCAUUCCUGCAGCCGUGGCUUAUCAGACACACAGGGAUGGGAAAAACUGAACCAAUUCCAACCAAAGUUGCUUGGACAAGUUUAAAUUGGUAAAUAUGAAGUCAAAAACUGAACUCUGGCCUGGAUUCUGCAAAACACACACAAAAAAAAAUGAUAACCCACCCAACAUGAAAUAAUACAAUCUAUUUGUCUAUCUGCCUCAUUGAAAAUAAUAAGCACCCACAGGUUGUGACAGAGCAGUUAUAUAAAUACUGCAAGUAAAAUAUUAUUAUUACUACUUUAAUAUUUUUUUUGUAACAGUCAAAAUCUAAUUGUAAACGCGCACACACACACACACACCCACACACACACCCGCACGCACGUGCACGCACACAAACCAUGACGUUGCAACACUGAGUGACCCACCAAAAUAUAAUAGAGGUUAUCUAAAAAACAUGAGAAAUCUGACUGCAUUGGCCCAUCUUCUUCAAAACAUAUCCUAUUUCUUACAGGUUUACAAAGCAAUUUAUAUUCAGUCAGUCGAAUCUUUGUCUCUCAGAUGACAAAUACUAUGUUUUUCUCAAAAUAUAAAAAUCCAAAUGAUUUUUUUUUUCAUUCAUAAAGCAACAGAUAAUACGAAGCAUGAAAGCAAGAGCAGUGCAGCUGUGGCAGUGUCAAUUUGUUAAAGCUGUCACUCUCUCGAACAGCCGUAUGCGCGCUCGCACACACUUACAUUUGGGUUACACAAUGGAGAUUUCACAGACACAGAUAAACAAUGCAAGGGCAGUUAUCACUCCACAGAGCACAGUAACACAGAGGAAGAGGAAGAGCAUGACAAAGAAACAGGGGGAGGACAAAAAAGAUGGCGUGUGUGUCGUCAGAGUCACAGGCCAGAGGGGCCCGCACAUUGUUCCGCGGCUCGGCGUAGGGAGAAAGAGGCGACCUGGGCAGCCUCUGUCUAAGCGUCCUCCAUGUUUUAUGCAUUCUGUCCUUUGUGAUGAUAAGCACCAGCGCGGAGGGUGGAAUGUUGGCCUCUAGGGUCCAAAAAGAAGGGUGGGCUUAUGAGGAGCAGCAUGGGGGUAGAGGGUCGGAGGGUGGCCGGGAUGCAGCUCCGUUUUAAUUUUGCAGCCCUCAGAGCGUUCGCUGUCAUCCCUGCCUGACUGACAUACUGGCAUAUGCAGCUUCCGCAGACACAUCUCUGAGCACGAGAGCUAACCGCUGCUCCUGCUGCUUCAAACAGGAUAGAGUCAGCACACUGCUCUACCACAACACACACACACUCACACACACUUUGAGAAUGCUGCCAGUCAUGGAUGGACUUGCAUCACACAGGAAUUUGACUCACAGUCAGUAAAGUAAAACAGGAAAAAAACAAAAAAAACUGAGUUUAUAAGUGCGAUGACAGCAGCGUCUAAGAAAAAGCUUGGUUUGCAAGCAUACUAAUAAACCUAUUCAAGAAGUAACAUUCAACUCAAGGACACAAGAACAUAUUAUAAUGUGUUUCUCUCAAUACAACAGCUUUAAUUCAUUGUUAGAAAAGGAAUAGAAUUUUUUUUUAAAUAAAUAUUUCACGCAUUGUUCAACCCCAUUCUGUCACCUCGACAGCAUCCACGAGUGAAGAGUGAAGGGUGGAAAAAAAGAAAGCAUCUUUUGCUUUUAAGCUUCACCUAUUUUUCACAUUACAACUAGUAGACAAUCAGAAUGUGGUUGCUGCAUGACACCUAAAUUCAGCUUUGUCCUGUAAGCUUGCCAAAAUACUGAUAAAAACCACAAUUAUGCCAUGAGAAGACCUUGACAUAGCACACUUAAAAGGAAACUGAUUUAUUUACAAUGUCGGCAUACAAAUAAAUCCGGACGUUGCUGCUGCACACACGCGCGCGUGCGCACACAGGCUGUGACACAUGUGCAUCUUCUCAGUCAUAAAUCUUGUCUACCACAAUGAUUUAACCAAGAUUGUUAACACGAUAACAUGUUGUGAAAGAGCAAACCACAAGAAACCCCGCCAACUUCACUUCAGAAAGAUAAAAGACAGUCGACAGUGAGGAAGAAUAAAAAAAAAAAGAGGCGAACUCUAAAGGAAACAUGGAGGGGGGAAUUUUAGAAACAAGCAGAGGAUAGGGGGCUCUCUGCAGAUGAAGAGGACACUCUGGACUGCUGGGAUUAAGGAUCAGGUGGAGGAUUCAUUCACACUGUAAGCAUGCCUACAUAAACACACCUGACCAUCACAUCCAUCCCACUCACAGUGUUGAGUUGGGACCACCGGCACCCCCCCACCCCCCGAGCAGCUUGAAUCCCGUUCUGACAGCCAUGACGAGUACUUGCCGGACUCAGAUGCAGCAUGACUGGAAGAGUCGGUCGUAUUGAAAAGCAUACAUCAGAUGAAAAGCCCAUCAUCUGUGUCUGUCAGUCGCACUCAUCUAAACAUCCAUACGGCUAAUGGUGGAGACAAGACGCCUGCUCCGGCUUUUGGGUUUCAGAGAAUACACACUCGACACAAUUACAGGCAUUUUAUGAUGCUGUCUCGGAAGAGGGGAACUAAUUGGAAAUGACCUGCAAUUUAUUUAGAGAUAUUGGAAAUAAAUAAGAAAACAAAAUGGUGAAUUAAAACAAUUGUGUUAAUAAGUAAAAAAAAAGAAAAAAAGAAAAACACACUCUUUAUUUCUCCUCUAUGUGCAUACAUAUCUAAAUGCAGUUCUCACUGCUUCUUUGCUGAAUAUUCCACGUAUGCUCCCAGCCAGCUCCUCACCCAAAGAGGGCUCCCUCCGACCGAAGACGUGGCACCGAUUUCCCCCCACAGUGCCACAUCCCAAACACGAAGAGGUGGGAGUCGAGGAAGGGGAAAUAUGCAGAGAUGCCGAGAAUGAGAUAGGAAGAACGAGACGCACCGGUGUGGGGGUGUGUGGGGGUGUGUGCGUGCGUGUGUGUGUGUGUGUGUGUGUGGAAGCGAAGGGGUUAUGACAGCCAGAGGCGCUCUCUCCUUUCUCUGUGUUACCCCCCCUCCAGCUCUCCGCUGUCUCACGCCAAACCAAAGAGCAAGCCAAUCCGUGACGACUGCGGCUCCCCCCUUUAUCUCAUUUACCCAACUACUGGACGCUCUGUUCCCACUCAUACAGUUAAAUGGCAUCUGAAUUUUCUAAAUAUACCUCGCAUCAAAUGUUGCUACAGACGUGGGUCAAGUGCAAACGGUGGACAAUGCCGAAUCAAUGGUCACUGACGUUUCAACACAACGACCACGUUCCUCCCCACGAAAAGCAGCUACAACACCUCACAUCUGCACUUUAACGCAGCUACUAAACGCAGAAGAGCUGCAAACAAAGCUCCUCUAGUCAUUUAAAUAAAAAUGAAGAAUGUUGUCACAUGUACUUUACUCUGCAUCUUCAAAAAAAAUUGUGAGAUACGUGCAAUCAUGGACAUAUGUAAAAUAAAUUGAAUAAAUAAUUAAAACAUGCAAGGACAAAAUUAACCAAAAUGGAGGGAAGCAUGAAUGAGAAGUCCUUUCAUUCCCCCCUCAGAUUAAAAUGUACCAAAAUGUUGCUAAAUUACGUUUAAAUAAAAUUUGACUAUAACAAAUAAAAGACAGAAAAGUGAACGUUAAAAAACAUACCUAUUUUGGACGUAUUUAUUUUUCAAAUGCCUCUUUUAAAACCGUCACUGUCUAAUUGGAAUUCAGUGAAAAUAAUUCUGAGUUGAGGAUUCUGGAACUGCUGCCACCAACACCAAACAGAACACAUGGAUGUAUUUUGUGAAAAGAGAGUACAUGGAAAAAAAUAAGGCCCAUGACAUUUCCACACCUUUUCCUGGAACUGUUAUAAUUAAACAUAAAUAUGAGAAUGUGGCAAGACAGGAAAAAAAAACAAAAAAAACAGGCAGGUGCAAUGACAGUAAACAUUUUCUGCUGUCUUUGUUUUGUAACAGAGAAGGGAAAGAAGGAGGAGGAAGAUGGGGAGGAGGAGGAGAGGAGUGCUAUCCUGUCAAACGGUGCAGGAAGGGAGAUUAUUGGUGUUCUUUUUUUUGUUGUUUUUGUUGGGGGGUGGCGGGGGGUGAAGCGGCCUUCUUGUCCUACAGAGCAUCUAUAAGUUUCUGAUCGUGGCAAUCUGAAGUUCCCACUGCAGGCAAAUAAAGCUGUGAUGAAAAAGCCAGUGUCAGAAAAUCCAAAGAAGGCAGAACCAAAUUAUGAAAAGUCAUUUCGAAUUGUGACUAUUCUUAAGAGAGCCAGAAUCUUGCUUCCCUUUUACUCCUAUCUCCUGUAUGAAAAGCAGGGAUCUAUUUACCUGACCUCUUCCUCUAUGUCCCAUGGCUAUCUGACCUCUCUGCUCUCCCACCCUAACAGCCCUCCCCUCCUCUUCAUUUGUAGAUGGAGUUUCUCUCCCUGCUUGGUGAUUAAUUCUAUCAAAGCCGGCCCCAUUUUUGAUUCUCUCAUCAAUAAAUAAAUCCGUAAUCCCACAGAUGCUGACAAUAGUGAACCCCCUUUUUAUUUGAGUUCUACCUGCUCCGAAAAAUAAUAAUAGAAAAAAAAAAAAAAGACACACAACCCCUCCACCAACAACUCAGAUCAGCCUUUUUCUCCCAGCCAGACCCAACUCUCUCCCCAUUAUCCUCUUGGCUGUUUGCAAGGGGGUUUCCUCUCUUUCUUUUUUAUCUCUGUACUCACUCCAUGACCCCUGUUCCCCUGUUUCUUGCUGUCUGACCUAACCCCCCACCCCCACAUCCACACCCCUUGCACUCCCCGCAAACACACUCACAACUGCCACCCCACCACCACCUCACUCCCCUCAGCCUUCAGCUUUUACCCCAACAGUACCACUGUCUCUGUUCAUCGCAAGAAAAGAAAGAAAAAUGUUUCACCCUUUUUUCUUGUUUUUCUCUGGGAUAAAAAAAACCCCCAAUAAUCAUCGUUCUACUUUUUUUUGUUAAUCUGACUGUACUUCGAACCCUCCUUUCCAAAAAUGAUGUUUUAAUAUUACAUUUAUGCCGAUUUUUGCAUUUUAAUUACUUAUUUUUUCUAAUUAUUUUGUGAGGUUAUUGUCAAAAAAGGCCUCUUUCCCACUGCAGCCAGGUUUUUUUCCCCCAUUGCAUUUGUUCUGAUUUUGCGUAUUUUGGCAUUUUAUUCUAUUUUUUAUUAUUUUUUUAGAUAAACUGAUGCUGUAACUAAACGCCACCCGCGGAUGCAGCUUGGACCGCCAUCUAAAGUUUCCGAUGGUUACUUUGCAUUAAUUCUAACAUCCUAAGAUCAGAUGUAAAGGGCAGUAUUUUCUCUCCACGAGAAAGAAAUAUUCCCUUGAAAGUCAGAGUCGGUAGCCGAGUAUAGUUCGAGGGAGCAAAGCCAGCCUCCCUGUCUCUUCCCUGAACCCACAUGUCUGAUCCCUCGUCACGCAGCUCCCACUCGCAGCCUGUCCGUGUGCGGGGUCCUGCUGAUCCGCUCUUGUCACGCAGGAGACCCGGUGCUCCGUUUUUUCUCCCAACCCCAUCAACAACACCAACACCACAUUCAACUCAACGCCGAGCCCCCCUGAUGCACGCACGCACGCACGCACACGCAUACACACACACGCUUGUCAAUCGAUCUGCAUGUGACUUCGUCAGUGAAUGAGCGAGAAUCGAGUGAAAAACAUCACCGAAAGGAGGCAAACAGCUGUUGUAAAAUAAAAAAAGGGGCUAAAACACGGAGAAAGUGUUUGGGGGGAAAAAGUGUGCGGCUGACGGAGCUGAGGCUGGGCGGAGGGAUUGCACAUUUCACACAAGAGACGUUGUCGGAGAAGAACAAAACUGUCCUCAGCCAGAAGAGGAUUUUAUUAGAAAUCGACGGUGGCGAAACUCUCUGGAUGUGGAAAGUGUCAAAUCUGUUCAGAAAAACAGAGCAGAAAGCGAAAGAUGCUCCCCCUGUUUUCCCGGACGCCCACGGACCCACAGGCUGGACUUGGAGCUCCUUCCCUGGGCUGCGCUCAUGUGGAGCUGCCGCUGCCCCUCGUCCGCUCUGCACAGCUUUCCCCCCCACCACCUCCUUGUUGCAUUUGUGCUUUAAAACACGUCUCUUAACAACCAUUAGCCCUCCAUACCCAUUUCCCCGAUCCCACCGCAGAAAACAAAACACGAAUCUGUUUUUAAAACCGUGUUUUUCUACGAUCAACUGCUCUGGAGCGGAUCGCUGUCUUGCCCGUUUCUUAUCUUCCAUUCAUGAGAGGAGGAGAGGACGGAACGCUCAUGUAAACACAGAACAAGAGGUUAUAAUAAAGAACAAGAAACACAACUCAGACCAAAGAGUGCCUCUAAUUAUUAGACGUAAGUUAUAGGUUUUAUUGAUUUAGAACUAUAAAAUGCUAAACUUCAAGCUCUUGUCAUAUUUAUUAAAAUAAUAAAAUUUUGCCUUUAAAAUGAAGAAUUAGGUACAUUUUUAAAGGGAUGAUAAAAGCGUCUAUGAUUUACCUUUUACUCUCAGCUCACAGUACACGCGGAUUUUUGUUGCUUCACAACACACUUCUAGAAAGGAAAUAUCUCGCAGAUCUGACGGAAUAGAGCACAAUUUGAAAUAUUUGCUUUCAUUCAAAAAGUGAAAAAAAAAAAAUCACCAGAGCUGCUUGCAUUUGUACAGUAUGUCUGCAACUUCAGCUCGUCUCAGAAAUACCUGCUUAAGCUUCAGUGCAUUUCUUUCCCCCAUAAACGUGUUCAUGUUUCAAAUCAAAAUUAAGAAGAUGUGUGUAGCAAUAUUUGCAAAAAUAUGAAUAGAUUUGUUCUUACCAAGCACACCAGUGAAAGAAAGACUUGUGAGUGUAGGUGUGAUGAACCAGCAUGCCAUUGUGACAUCUGUUACCAAACUUGUGGGAACACGUUGUCAAUACGUGUGGGUUCAUGUAAAUAACAAUAAUAACUGUAAAAAAAAAUAUAUGCGUGACUCAGACUGAUCAGGACGUUUCUUGAGGUUCUGGUUGUAUGUUUUGGAUUUUUUUUAGAAGAGUGUUAGUGUCCACAUAUCAGUCUGAUAUCUCAUUAUAAGGUGAUCAGAACGUAAGCAAACUGAACAUUUGCAAACUUUUUUCUCGCAAACUAAGGACGUUUCCCCCCCCCACCCCCAGAUAGAUAUUGUAGUGGGGGGGGAGGGAACACUUGACUCUGUCAUUGCACUUUUUAUCAGAAUUUUUUGUUGGUUGUUUGAGAACGUGGACAACCCCUCUCUGUCUCAUUUCUACACACUUUCUGUGCAAACAGCUCUCUGUGCUGAGCCCAAGUUACUGCGAACACGGGCAGCAGCUUUCACAGAACGCCUUCUGCUGAUUGAAACAAUACGGAUUUGUUAGUCCGCGACCUCAACGUGCUAAAUUCCGAUGCAGAGUUAAUAGAUAAAAGAAAUACAUUGUCGUAUCUAGAUAUUGCCUGAGAACGAACCUAAAAACUCGCACUGUUUAAGAAAUCGUAACUGGAUUAAGAAAAAAUACCUGAUGUGUGUGUGUGGGUGGGUGUGUGUGUGUGUGUGUGUUUCAUAUUUGUGCCGGAUAGAAAUUCUUUCCGGUGUGUUUUUAUUUUAAGGCUGUACCGGUUGAAGACCUCCGUGAUGUUCUGCUUGAGAAGGAUGGCUGAUGAAAUAAAUAGACUAUAUUUUAUGUUCUCCAAGGCCCUUUGACUUAAAGGUUAGAGAGGUUAUGAAACCCCCCCACCCUCCCGGGAUGCGGCGUUUCUACGGAUCCGAUAGCAUAGGCUAUAUUCCUUUGAAGAGACUCAAACUUCUUACAUUGUAGCCUAUAUGGUCAGGACCCAACACCCCCCCCCCCACACACACACACACCUCCCUCACCCACCCUCUACCCCACCUUUUUCCAUCACAAUCUCCCUUUUUCCCUCACCCUUCCUCCCUCACUGUCGUCUCCUCUCUCUCCCUGCUGCUAAAAUAUAUGGUGAGCUGUAACACGGCAUUUCCUCGGCAGUCCACAAGCAGCGACAGCCACUGAUACCUGUUUUUAAGCAACGCAACAUCUGCUGUAUAGAAUGCCCCCCUCCUCAGAAAUAAAACUAAAUAAAUAAAUCGCUCAAACUGUUUGCAUUUUUUUGUUCUCCUCCCAGUCGCCGCAUGUGUGAGAGGCAGACUGCAGGAAUCUCGAGGAUUUGCGACGCAUCUGCUCUCUCGGGAAGAAGGAGAUUGUAAAAAUGAAUAGGUCGAAAAUAGCGUGCUAGUGGAGUUAAAGGGGGCUACCAGAUAAUAAAAGAGUCUGGUGUAAUUUGAGGCUUGCAUGGAGGCAGCUUUCAGCCAGUCGCUCGCUCAAAGCCCUGCAACAAUGCAAACUUCAGUUUACAAAUUAAUGCAGAGGCCUGAUUGACAUUACUCCAUCAGUGGCCAUAUUGAGCACGGUGCGGGCUAAAUCAAAAAAGGGAGCUGCCAGACGGAGGCCUUCAUGCUUUUAGGGCCUAUGCUUGAGUGAAAAGAGAAGAGGGGGUGUGUGUAGGGGUGGGGGGGCUGACAGGGUCUGGGGGCUUUUGUGUUGCCAGCAUUCAAUUGCGCCUCUCAGUGGGAAGGAUAACUGUCCACGUGCCAGCCUCAAUAGGCAUGCAUCGAUGAGUGGCAUUGCAAAUUCAACGCAACCUGUGGCUAUGACAGCCCGUGGAUGUGACAAAGAAAGCCAGAGUGGCUUGAAAUGCAAAGUGCUGCGUGGAGGCGAGGGCGCGUGGAAGUGGUUGACCAUCACCAGAGCUGCCAGAAACAAAAACAGCGCAUUCAGACGGAGGGCCAAGCCCCAUAUAAUCGCUCCUUGAAGAGAUGGGGGUGGGGGGGAGGGCUGUCGCAAGCAAGACGCACGUGCACGACUUGUCAGAAACAUUUAUUUUAAUGUUUUCAAAUUGAAUUACAAGUUAUUCUCUGCAGUGAGCCGCGGGCGCGCGCGCGCACGCACGCGAGCGUGCACGAGCGCGCGCAAUCCCAGACAAAGCACAAAAGGAAACAGAGGAAAUGAGCAGGGUUGAAAGUAUUUAAAGAUAAAAGCUGUGUUCGAGAAAAAGUCAUAUAACUUUAUAAAGAGAUAACGACUAAUAUAUUUCGAAGGAUUUGGGGGGAUUUAAGAUGUUCAUAGGCUGUAAUAUUAACGACUGCACGGUGUGAGUUGUAUGUUGAGGCUGUGGUAAACACAGAUGAAAAGGGCAUCACAGUUUCUUUAGAAUACACAGUGAGUGAGAUUAUACUCUGAAAAUAUUUAAAUUGGGAGAGAAUGAGAACUCUGUACCUGAUUUUAAAAACAAUAUAUAUAUAUAUAUUUUGGUGGGUUGAAGAAAACAUUUAUAAGCAUGUUACAUUCAGUAGAGCUAAUAACAGGAUGCUGGAACACUUUAACGCCUCGCUUUUGCUUCUCUUAGAGAUGCAAGAAAAAGGCGUCGCGCAUUAUUCUAUUUCAAUAAAGUUAGUGCGCACUUUCACUAUAGCAUCUUCAAGUACACGCAGCUCUUAUUUCCAUGCUGAUUUGAUUCGUCCUAUGUUUAAAUAUAUAUAUAUAUAUAUAUAUAUAUAUAUAUAUAUAUAUAUAUAUAUAUAGUUCCCUAUCGUCUAAAGCAGUUAAGACAGCACCGUUUACCCCCACAUCACACAUGGGAGCAUUGCGUCCGGCUCUCCCUGUGUCUGGGGUGGAUAGGGCAGCACAGCCAGGUGCAAUGGGAGCGCCCUCUUAUGUUCAGCCUGACCACUGGGAUCAAGCAGAGCAUCAACUGUUUCACAGCAAGUCAGGCGCCUGCGGACCAAGUGGUCUCUGCCAGAGCGCACCUUUACCUUUACCUGCCAACACUGUGCUGCGGUUCAAACCGCAUCCAAAAGGAGCUCACAUUUAUGUAAAACGUCACUCGGGUUGUCUGAUAAUAGAAGUUAAAGAGGCGAUCGUUUUGGGAAGUUCAAUGCUGUUUAAAUUCGCAUUUUUUUUCCAAAGAGGUGUGUAGAAGUUUCUGAAACUAUUCUAAUUAGUAAAGAGCAUCUUUUAGUGGAGGAAUGAGGUGUGGCAAGAGUCCAGCUUUGAUUAAACAUGAACUUAAACGAAAUAGGUGGGACUAAACUGCCAGCAUGACAGCAGCCGAUCCAGAAAUUAAAAAUAAUAUUAUUAAUAAUAAAAACACAAUUAGGUUUGUCAUUAUUUUAUUUUUUAUGAACAAACUUUUGUGGUAUAAAUAAAAUGUACGUCAGGUGAUGCAACGUCCAGCAUCAUGUUUCUAAGCCGGUCCCUUGUGGAUAGGGGAGACGUCGCUUUAACAAACCUGAGUUUUUAUUAUUUUAAAGGUAUUUCUUCAGUCUUAUUCUCUCAUAUAUCCCUUUACAUCCAUAGAUAUAUAUUUUAUUCUUUUUUGAUCUUCACGUUGUGCUCAGGUGGGUGGUUAGCAGAGAACCUUUCUGAGAGGAUACAAUGUACAAUGUUGUGAAUUUUUACAUUUGGCCAAAUGUUGCUUUUUCUGUAUUAAUAGUUUUUGUCCGUACUAUUCUGAAUGUUUUUAUCAGACCCUUUCAAUCAUUUGCUAAUUUUUGAUUAUGUUACAAAUGCACAGCCUUUCUUGUUUGCUUUUUUUUUUGUUUUUUGUCUUCUACUGUUUAUAUUUUCCUAAUCUGUUUGAAUUGUAAUUUGUUUACCUGUUUCGUAUCUUUGUGAAUAAGAUACUUUUGUUUCCUAUGAUGACUUCGUCUGUUCCCAGUUUAUUCAGAUGCACUUUGAUGCUGAUGCUGCCUUUGCUAAAUAUUGUUGAAAUAAAAUGUUCAUAUUAAAUUUUUUUUUGAAAAUUGA